rnacentral:rRNA from 1 species
GACGAACGCUGGCGGCGUGCUUAACACAUGCAAGUCGAGCGGUAAGGCCCUUUCGGGGGUACACGAGCGGCGAACGGGUGAGUAACACGUGGGUGACCUGCCCUCAGCUCUGGGAUAAGCCUGGGAAACCGGGUCUAAUACUGGAUAUGACUCCAUGACGCAUGUUGUGGGGUGGAAAGCCUUGUGCGGCUGAGGAUGGGCCCGCGGCCUAUCAGCUUGUUGGUGGGGUGAUGGCCUACCAAGGCGACGACGGGUAGCCGGCCUGAGAGGGCGACCGGCCACACUGGGACUGAGACACGGCCCAGACUCCUACGGGAGGCAGCAGUGGGGAAUCUUGCGCAAUGGGCGAAAGCCUGACGCAGCGACGCCGCGUGGAGGAUGAAGGUCCUUGGAUUGUAAACUCCUGUCAGCGGGAAAAAGCGAUUCGACCUAAUACGUCGGAGAGUUGAUUGUACCCGCAGAGGAAGCCCCGGCUAACUCUGUGCCAGCA